UACGAAGGGGGCUAGCGUUGCUCGGAAUCACUGGGCGUAAAGGGUGCUUAGGCGGGUCUUUAAGUCAGGGGUGAAAUCCUGGAGCUCAACUCCAGAACUGCCUUUGAUACUGAGGAUCUUGAGUACGGGAGAGGUGAGUGGAACUGCGAGUGUAGAGGUGAAAUUCGUAGAUAUUCGCAAGAACACCAGUGGCGAAGGCGGCUCACUGGCCCGUAACUGACGCUGAGGCACGAAAGCGUGGGGAGCAAACAGG
rnacentral:rRNA from 1 species